rnacentral:rRNA from 1 species
AUUGAACGCUGGCGGCAGGCCUAACACAUGCAAGUCGAACGAUUGGCGGACGGGUGAGUAAUGUCUGGGAAACUGCCUGAUGGAGGGGGAUACCUACUGGAAACGGUAGCUAAUACCGCAUACCAUCGGAUGUGCCCAGAUGGGAUUAGCUAGUAGGUGGGGUAAAGACUCACCUAGGCGACGAUCCCUAGCUGGUCUGAGAGGAUGACCAGUCACACCGGAACUGAGACACCGUCCAAAGUCCUACGCGAGACAGCAGGGGGUAAUAUCGUACAAUGGGCGCAAGCCUGAAGCAGCCAUGCCGCUGGUAUGAAGAAGGCCUUCAGGUUGUAAAGUACUUGCAGCGUGGAGGCGUUACCCGCAGAAGAAGCACCGGCUAACUCCGUGCCAGCAGCAGCGGUAAUAC